UAAUAAAACACCUAAAAGUAUGAUAUAUAUAUAGAGAGAGAGAGAGAGAGUUUUAUUAUCGGCUGUUAGAUCUAUCCUUUUAACCAUUUUUACCUAUUAGAUCAUACUAUUCAACAAAUUACCCACUCAACCCUAGAGAAUCACUAUCAUCCUAGCUGUAGAUCCCUUCAUCCAACCACCGAAAAUUUAGAGUACAAAAUGGCCUGUACUCAUAAGAGUAUAGUAACCUACUCUAGAUCUCUCUCUCUUUCUCUUUCUCUCUCUCUCUCUCUAUAUAUAUAUAUGAUCAAAAAUCAGAAUCAUCAACUAAGUUAAAGGAUAAAUUUGCUUAC
rnacentral:lncRNA from 1 species